AACGAACGCUGGUGGCAUGCCUAACACAUGCAAGUCGAACGAGACCUUCGGGUCUAGUGGCGCACGGGUGCGUAACGCGUGGGAACCUGCCCUUAGGUUCGGAAUAACUCCCCGAAAGGGGUGCUAAUACCGGAUAAUGUCUUCGGACCAAAGAUUUAUCGCCUUUGGAUGGGCCCGCGUUGGAUUAGCUAGUUGGUAGGGUAAAAGCCUACCAAGGCGACGAUCCAUAGCUGGUCUGAGAGGAUGAUCUGCCACACUGGGACUGAGACACGGCCCAGACUCCUACGGGAGGCAGCAGUGGGGAAUAUUGGACAAUGGGCGAAAGCCUGAUCCAGCAAUGCCGCGUGAGUGAUGAAGGCCUUAGGGUUGUAAAGCUCUUUUACCCGGGAUGAUAAUGACAGUACCGGGAGAAUAAGCUCCGGCUAACUCCGUG
rnacentral:rRNA from 1 species